AGAAGUAAAAUUUCCAGGAUGAAACUAGAUGGUGGUGAUCAUGUCCACUUGCUGAAUUUCAUGUGCUCUAGUUUGAUGAAAUUCUCUGCUUCUUUGUCAAUGUCCUCAUACUUUGCCACCCUCUCACUCUUCACCUUCCUUUUAUGAUGAGAUGGAACCUUCAUCACGUUACUCAAGUCUUCGCAUUCAAUAACUUGGCUCGGCGUCUCAGCCAUAGAGACCCAGUGAAGGUGAUGGUGAUAGCGAUGGUGAUGAUGACUGUUAUGUUCAAGGAAAGUACUAAAUACCAUUUUUCUAAUAAAAGGUCUUGUUUGCUCUGUACUUGCUGUUACAUAUACAUUUGAAAUCAUCAGAGGUACUAUAUAUAUGACAUGUUAUAGGAUUGAAGUCUAAUGAUAAGGCUGAAUCCGAUACCUUUUUUUACUUUUCCCGUUAUCUCCCGUUUGGAACAAUUAAAUAGAUUAUUCCAGGUUUGGCCAAAAUUCUUGGACCUUUAAAUUUAUAGAUUAUGCACUUAUCUAUUGUUGUAUAACUUUAUGGUUCAAUAUUUAACAGUAACAAAAGAUUGGUACACCGUACACGUGAUCAGCGUCAACAAGAAGGAAUACAAACAAGUUAACAUGGAAAAAUUGACGAGGUUGGCCAAUGGAAUGAGAGGAUAGUUGUUAUUAUUAGGAACGAGAAUAUAUGCUCGUGCUCAGAAAAAUAGUACACGAAAGUAACUGUUGGUUAUUCGAGGCACUAGAUGCCUGAAACAACUGAUCAAAGUGGCGUGUUUUGACCGCAACUUAGUAACGAACAUUGGAAAAAUACAUGUGUCUAACUAUGUUCAGAUUAAGGCUUAUUUUCUUUGUGGAAUGGUCUCUUCAAUCAUGCAUGUUGAUGGAAAUUGCAUCUAAUGCUUGCAAAUAUUGAAGAGUCUCUUAACACAGACCACGUAAGCUUUUGGGUGGGUCUUUGAUCCAUCCUUUUCAUUAAGACCUUAAGUCAACUUGGGUAUUCCUUGUCGAGAUAUACAUAAGUUUGUAUUUUUUAUUUACAUAAGUUUUAUCACGAGUGUUAUACUCUACAUUAUCUUGUGAGACCUAAUAUAUGUUAUCAAUGUCCGUUAGCCUCAAGCGAUCGUAUCCGAAUCUAAAUAAGCAAUCCAAAAACCAAACUAUGUUUUAAUACAACAUGAAUUCACUUCACUGUAUUUUAGAAAACUGAAAACUAAAACCAAAUCGAAUUGAGGAAAAAAAAUGAUCCUAUACAAAAUUUCUGUGAAAAUUAAGAUUUGUUUCAUUAAACCCCGAAUCCAAACUGAAAACAAAAUUCAAAAGUAAUUCUCUAAAUUUUAAUUUAAUUUUACCGCUUACAAUCGUACACCAAACUUAAGUCCAGAACUAGAUUUUGAUCCGCGCAGGCGCGCGGGUGUAUAUUUUGAAAAAUAUGUUGAUAUUUGUUUUUCAUGUAAUUAUUAAGAUUUGGAAAAAUGAAUCCGAAGAACAUAACCGAUACCGAUCCAAAGAUAUAGUACCAAACCCAAACAUAAAUUGAUUAAAUAUUCUAAUUAUUCAAAAUUUUGUUAUUUAGAGAACCGAAUCUGAUCCGAACCGAAGUAUUUGGGUAUCCGAAUUUAUCUAAAAAUAGAUUUAUAUACUUAUAUAUAUUAAUUAUUUUUAGAUUUAACGUAUAUAAAACAUCAAAAAUGAUACUUUUAAAUUGGUUUAAAUACUUGAAAAUAUAUAUAGAUAGUCAAAAGUAAAUAUCUGAAAUAGUUAAAGUAUACUCAAAUCACCAAAAAUACUUAAAAUAAUUAUUGAUUUCGUAUCCAAAAUUUUAAAUCAAGCCAAUUGAUAUGUUAAGCUUAAGUAUUAUGACAUAUGUUAUUCAAAUUUAUACGUAAUAUAUUAUUUUAUUUAUACAUUUUGAGAAAUUUAAAAUAUAUAAUGAUUUAAGACUUUAAAAAUAAUUUAAAUUAGUUAUCCAAACCCAAACCAAACCCGCAAAGAUCCAAAUCGAACUCAAACCAAAAUUUAGAAACAUUCUAAUAAGGCUGAAAUCUUUGACCCCGAAAACCCAAAAUACAAACCGAUCAGAACUAAACCCGUAUGGGUAUCCAAAAGCCCAUCCCUAGUCAUUAUUAUAUAUCGUAUUUUAUCAUCAUAUAAUUAAUCGUAUUUUAUAUGUACCAUCAUAUAAGUAAUCAUAUAAUUAAUAGUAUUUUAUACAUACCAUCAUAUAAAUAAUUACAUAUAUUAUAUUUUUAAAACUUAAUAUGAAAUAUGAAAACCAUAAUUUGAGUUGGUAUUUCAAAUUGGGCUUUGUAUUAUAUUUUUCUUAUAUAUAUUGACAAUAUUUUUUUAUAAUGGUUAUUGAAAAAUAGUUUAGUAAAAAUCCAUUUUUGAAUAUAUGUAUAUUUUUGAAUCAAUUUUUGAUAUAAAUCAAAUUUGAAUUAUUAUUUUGAUUUGAAAUAUGUAUAUAAAGUUUAAAUUUUGUUUUAUGGUUAGUUUAGAAAAUUUUUUUUUAGGGAAUUAGAUUGACCCAUUUUGGUAUAUUUUAAAAGUGGCCUAGAUAACUUUCAAUUUUUUUAAAAAACAUAAGCCCAUUACUUUUUUUCUUAAUACUACUAUUCUUGUUUUCAAACAAAAAUAUUUUUUUUUAAAAGACUGCAAUCCAUGUUUCCAAACACUCAAAAAUUUUUAAAAGUCCUAUUCAAGUCUCCAAACACUCCAAUUUUGUACUUGAGUUUUAAUAAGAUAGAUGAACAUUUAUCACUUAUCAGCUACCAAUAAGAAAAAUAAUUUUCUGUGAAGAAGUUAGUCACGCCUCUAAGUUGAAUAGUUGGUACUAAUUAUGUUUUGUUAUAUUUUCUUGGAAAUAUACUUAUAUUUUUACGCUAACUGACUCAUACAAUCAACACAACUAUAUGAUACAUAUGAAUAAAAACAUAAUGCGUCAACUGAUUCAAAUCCCCAAAAACAUAACAUUGUUUUAGUUUAUUAUGUUGAUACUCCAACUGCACUCAUAAUUUCACGGUGAAUCCAAGCGAAGCAAUUGAUGAAGUUUUAUAGUUUGGAUUGUGAGCAUCCAGUGGACAUAAGAUGAUCUCAGAAUAAAUUUAUCCAGUUCUUGUGUUUAAGGUUUUCAAUUUCUAAAGAAAGAAUAUUAUGGCAAACACCUUUAUAUCACUUGCAACUGAUUGACGAUCCUCAGGUUUUUCUUUUGGGGCUAAAAUUGAGCUAAUGCCAUAUGUAUAUGCUACCUUUAAGUUACACCAUAUGACCAUUAUUUCUUAAAAAACUAAUAUUUGUGACUUUGUGCAAUCAAUUUUUCCACGUGCAUGGAACAGUAAAUUCAUAAUACUUGCAUCAUUUUUAUUUAACAUAAGCAGCAACAACAACACACCUUUUAGUAAUCAUAAGUUUCUCAAACAAGAACACUUCCUUUAUUUUUUGCUAAAAGGCCUAUGUUUAGGUUUAGUAGGAUACUGAAACAUGUUCCUCACACACACAUCUUAAUUAUAGUUUCGUUAACUGGUAUUAUACAUAAUCAUUACUUUUUAUUUGAACCGGUAGAGUAGUUGGUUGCAGUUAGAGGCCCUUACUCCCCCACCCGGCCUUGUGGUGGCCGCCUCCGCUGUUUGGGUUCAUGUAGACAUGAUGUGGUAACACCUGAGGAGCCAUAAGCCUGUCCUGGUGCUUCAUUCCGUGCGCACCGUGGUGCUUCAUCCCGUGCUCACCGUGGUGCUGCAUCCCGUGCUCACCGUGGUGCUGCAUCCCAUGCCCACCGAGGUAUGCAUCUUCAUGCCUCCCCUGCCAUCCAUUACCCAUAUUUCCCUGCCAAUCAUCGUUAAAAAAAUUACAAACGGUGAGAAACCAUACAAAAAUCAUAAAAAUAUUUAAUUGGAUGGACAGUUGGUGCGUUUGCAUAUGAGUUACCAUAUCAUAGCAAAUUCCAAAAUAUGUAAAUCAGAAUCCAUUUAAUUUUCAGCAUAAAGUUUCCGGACUUCCAAGUAUUUUAAACACCUCAACACAUGUAACCUAAUGGUGUGGAGUAUAUCAAGUAUUCUUAUUAUUGAAAAAUAUGGUUAAAGUCACUUUGGAAUAACGUCUACAACAGAAUAUGAUUAAUUAAGUUGUGACACCUUAAAAGAUAGCUUACAUUGUUGUGAGGUUGAGACAUCGGAGGUGGGGGCAUGAAGUUCAUAUGAGGUGGUUGUUGGUGGUGGAUUUUGCCGUGGUGGGGUAACACUGUAGUGUGGUGGCUUCGGCUACUCUUAUAGAACUCCUCUACAUCUGAGUCGGAGUCUUCUUCAUCACAGGGUGGCAUGUGAGCCAUGGGUGGAUGGGCGUGGUUGGCUGGAAGCCUCACGCGGUGGUCGUAGCGGGCUUGACGGUCAAAGUAGCCUCCUUCUGACUCCAUAUGAGACUCGUACUUCUUGUGCUCCUCAAAACCGUAGCCGCUGCUUCUGUGAUCCUUGUGGCCGUACCCAUUGCCGUAUCCAUGCCCGUACUCUCCGAUAAGUUUGUCAAGCAUUUUUUGUUUAUUUAUAAAUAUACUUGGCUUAGUUUUCUUUGAUGUGAGGACGUGAUUAAAAUAUUUCUGUGUCUCCAUAUAUAUACAAGAUACAAGACGUGUAGUGUAAUGUUUGAUAUGAUUCCCUCUCUCAAUUACUCAUAUAAUGAUGACUAGAUUUUGACCCGCACGCCCGUGCGGGUGUAUUUUUUUAAAAAAUAUGAUGCUAUUUGAUUUUUAUGUCACUAUUUAGGGUUGGUAAAAAAACUCGAAUUCGAAGAAUUGAACCGAUCUCAAUCCGAAUAAGUAGUACUAAAUCUGAACCGGAAUUGAUUAAAUAUCCGAAUUAUUCAAAAUUUUGGUAUUUGAAGAACUGAAAUCUAAUCCGAUCCGAACCGAAGUAUUUUAGGUAUCCAAAAUAGAUUUAUAUACUUAUAUACAUUAAUUAUUUUUAGAUUUAAUAUAUAUAAAAACAUCCAGAAUAUAUAUGAUCUAAAUAUAUACAAAUAAUCAAACGUAAAUACUUAAAUAUAUGAUGUAAAUAUUUAAGUUCGCUUAAAUGCUUGAAAAUAUGAUGUAAACUUUUAAGUCCGCUUAAAUGCUUAUAUAUUCGCUUAAAUGCUUGAAAGUAUAUAUAUAUAUAACAGUUAUUAGAAAAUAACUAAUAACUAUUAUAAAAAUGUUUUCUAUAUAUAUAUAUAUAUUUGAAUAAAUUUUUGAUAUAAUUUUAAAUUAUUAUUUUGAUUUGAAUAUAUUAUAUAUCAAAUAACAUAAAUCCAUUACUUUUUAAUAUAAUGUAAUGGACUUCCAAUUUUUAGUAGCUAAGCCCAUUAUUUUUUUUCCUAACUUACUACUAUCCAUGUUUCCAAACAUUACUAUUUUUUUAACUACUAUUCAUAUUGCCAAACAAUCUCAAUGUGUACUUCAACUUUAAUAAUAUAGAUAUUUAUCUGAAUCUUAUUCUCUUUUCCACCACCACCACACCGAAAGUUGAGUAGACACAUUUUCAGAAUUCUGAUUCGGUUCAUAUUUUUAAUUGAUAUGUCCAUUCAAGUGUGAAAUCGAAUUCUACAUUGGCUGAAUACAAAUAAAAAAAUAAUAACCAAACUGAAAUUAAACAUGCUAUAGUUUCUAUUUAUAGAUUAUAAGACUUAAAACUAAUUAAGGUGGAAGUACAACGCUUUGUGUUCAUAUUUUUAUGGAUAAACUCAUUAUUAUUCGUAACCUCGCCUUAAAUUCAAAAGCAUCUUUGAUUCUUAGCUGAUCAUUUUGUGGUUGAAGUUCCAAGUUGAGGGUUUGCCAUACUCUUAUAAGUCAUAACUGAUUAUUAACAAGUUAAGUUGCUUUUAAUAUUCAAAACUCAUAUAUUAUUGAUGUAAAAGUAUUAAAACUCUCAUUUGAAUUACUGGAUUAAGGAAAGCUCCACAAAAGAAUGGUAUAGACAAAUGUGGAGCUGGAAAAAAAAAUAGGAAAGAACAAAACGUGUAAUCAUCUUAUACUUAAUCCCAAAAAAGGAACACGAGUCUAAUGCGUUUGCAUAACAAUUAUCAAUAAUGGUCUCAAACGGAUAUCCACCAGAAUCUUCUAAUUGACCAACGACUUGAGUCAACAUGGGCAGCCUUUUAAUAAGUCUCUCAACGUUCAAAGAACCGACUCUUUCUCGAGUUUCAAAUAUCCAAGGAAUGGUCAAUUUCGAAGAAAUGUGUUGAGGAGAAUCGUCACAAUCUAACACGUUACCACAUCUCACCGAGAACGCCGUCCUUGUCUCAUUCUUCGCGUUUGUCUAUAAACAUAGGGAGAUAAGAUCAAGAAAUAGUAGUAGUAGUCGUCGCUCUGUAUUAUUAUAAUCUUCCCAAACCAAGUUGUCGUUGCUCACCAAGCCUGAUUUAUCUUCUCUACUUUCAGACACAACUCGGGUUUUCUUUGUUUGUCUCCUGGUUUUGUGUGAUGGAAAUGAAGAACAAGCCAAAUAAUGGAAACGAAGAUGGUCCGAAACAUAGCCAAGUGGUGAAGAUAAAGAAAGAAUUCGAAAAGAUAAGUCAGCCAUCGCUACAGCAACCGGAGAUGAGAAGGGUCCUCGCGGAAACCAAGAGGCGUCAACGUUCACGUUCACCUCUCGGCUUAGGAGAGAGAUCUAUUCCCGUUGGGGAUUAAUGUUCCAUCGUUCACCUUUGUAACCGAGAGAGACAGUAGUAGUAGAAGAAGAGCCUCCUUACGAGAGUUCUGAAUAGUUACAGUCUUGCAGACUUUGUUGUAUAUAUGACUCUGUUGUACUUGUAUGUGUCUUCAUGUAUAUACUCUUUGGUGUGAAUAUCAUCUAUGAAUCUCCCUUCCUUGCAGCGUAAACUCUUGAAUAUGAUCUAAACAUAUAAACACAGAAGCAGGAGUUUCUUUAAACGAAGCACAAAACUCUAUAUAGAAGGCACCAGCCAUGUCAUGAUGUCUGAAUCUGGAUUUACAUGACAUGUAUGUGAAAGAUAGGUAUUGUCACAAUAACUGAAAGAAAACUACUUGAGACACCCAAAACAUGUUAUUGAUUCAACCUGAGGGAGAGCUCUUAAAAACCUGAGGGAGAGCUUAUACGUUUCCUUCUGUCAAAGAAGAACCAAUCUGAAGCAUUAGAGGAUAAACUGGACUAAACUCUUUGUCCCCUCUCGAUUUUAUCUUCACUGCAUAAUCAUCCAAAGUCGCUUUAACCCCCUUCCAGAUCUGAUCCUCUUUUUGGUUAUCAAGCCACAGCGAGUACUGCUUAGGACUCAGUCUGUUCUUCUGCAUCGGUGACUCUAACUCGUCUGGGCCUCUCGUGUAGAGAUGAUGCAGGACGAUGCUCGGUGGUAGAUCCUGGAUGAGAGGAGAUGAUCCCAUUUCGGAUGUUUCCAGGAAUAUCAACGGCCUAAAUGCUCUGAGAGCUCUGUACGGUGCACCGAGUUGCUCCACAGGGAACAGAUUCUGUCCCACCGCGAGUUCCAGCUCCGCCAUGUCUCUAGCCAUCCUGAGUUUUCCCCAUUCUGACAGUGGCCUCACCAGGGAAGCAUGCCUGAUGUAGAAGAUCAAAACCCUUGAAGCCAUUUGUCUCGCGAGUCUAGUGCAGAUCGAUUCUGUCCCUGCAGCGUUCGCGCUAGCUGCUGAAGGCAACAGUCUAGAUAGGAACUCUCUGCGGAAGUGGAGAAUCGAUCUCUGCAGCUCCUCCAUGUAUGGGGAAGUGUUGUUGUCCAAGGCAGCAUCAUCAACGCCAAAGUUUUGGUCGUGGAUCUGAAGAAUGCAUGACUCGAGCUGGUCUCGCAUUGCUUUAAACAGAGGUGUAACUGGCUCGCAUGCCGCAGCGUAUAUCGCACCCAGAUGAGGAGACAAUACAUCGGCGGCGAUACUGGGAAGGUCAGCUACCAUGGAUGAGAUAUGCGUGUGGAUUCCUUGCAGAUGCUGGCAUAAUGUGAAGUUCCUGAUCUGUGUUGAAGUUGCUGGACCUGUUAUCUGACGCGUCUCAGGGCCUGUAGAGAUCUGUUAUAUACACGUAGCUGUGUUAACACAUGUACAUUUGAAGCAUUAGAGAAGAGAAAAGAAGCUUAGCAUACCUGGCACUCAGCUCGUUGAGCAAGGUUACUAAGGGCCUUGCCUAUCUCACGCAAAACUAGAAGAGUCAAACGACCAUCAGGAUGAACAGCUUCGAUCUCGUCUUGAAUGUGUGAUAACACCUGUGAGAUCUGUUCUUUGGAAGGCAAACUCCCACGGCUCGACAUAGGGAAUAUAGAGUUCACAAGAUCUGACAACCUUCCAAAGCACAGUGAUAAGAAAGCAGUCUGGAAUAUCGCAAUGCAUGAAACCAUUUGUUCUUUCCUCUCUGAGUUAACCGCAGGUAACACUCCUUUCACAUCGGUGUCGCGAGCGAUCCUUUCAAGGAGGUUUUCUAUCAUAGACACUAGCUUUGGAUAUCCCAUGGUGAAUAUUUCUUUCACGAAACUCGAAGCUGUGAAUGCAGACUUCAUUUGGCUAGUAAACGCCUUCACAAGUGCAUCCCAGACUCUGUCUGUUAGCAUAGAAUCACCUUCCUGUCGCAUAUAAACACUUCAUAUCAGUAAUAAAACCUCAAAAUAAAGGCUGGAAUCUAAUUUAACCAAUAUCCCCCUGAAUCACGAAAACACAUACCAAAGGCUUCAUUUUUUAUGCAAAACAUGGAAGAAUCAUAAACUAAAGUUGAUCAAGCAUCAAUCAUGCUCUCUCUCAAGGUGACAAGAAUCAUCUCAUCCACAUCCAAUAACACUAUAUCUCUUUCUCUCAGUUACCUAAUGCAGCUUAAACUAACGAGUAAACUCUGAGAGCCUAAGUUUCCAGUGAAAUUCAAGAAGUUCCUUAAACCUUGAUCUUAACCCUGACAUCACAAAAAUCACAUACCAAAAACUUCAUUUUUAUGCAGAAACAUGGAAGGAUCAUUAGCAAAAGUUGAUCAACACCAGUCAUGCUCGCUAAAUAUAAAAAGAUGCAUCGCAUCCACAUCCAAGACACUCUCUCUUUCUCUCAAUCACCUAAUGCAGCUUAAACUAACGAGUAAAUUCUGAGAGCCUAAGUUCAAGAAGUUCCUUAUACCUUGAAUCUUAACCCUGACAUCACAAAAACACAUACCAAAGGCUUCACUUUUAUGCAAAAACAUGGAAGAAACAACUACUAAUAUUGAUCAAACAUCAACCAUGCUCACUAAAUGUGUCAAGAAUCUUCUCAUCCACAUCCAAGAACACUCUCUUUCAGUUAAUUACCUAAUGCAGCUUAAACUAACGAGUAAAAACUCAAGAAGUUCCUCAUACCUUGAUGACUUCAUCAAGAAGAAGAACAUGCGUAAAAGGAUCUCUCUUCUUCGACAGCACACGCUGCAAAUGCCACACAGCCUUUACAAGCGCAUACAACUGAUCCAUACAACUCCCCAUCCUCUGCCACAGCGCCUCCCUAACCUUCCCUCCACCACCAAUAUGCGGCGCUCCGCUAGACCUAAUCCCUCCCGGCCCAUAACCACCACCACCAGGCCCAGAAGAAAUCGCUUUCAUGUCCAUCGCAACGCCUACACUCUUCACAGCCAUCCCCUUGUACUUGUUCACCAAUUGAUCAACCGUAAGCUUAAGCUCUCCAAGGUUAUAGAAAACCUGCAACCCAGUCCCAACCUCAGCUUGAUUCAGCCCUUCCACGCCUCUCUCCAACACCUUCAUGGCUUCAGAUCUCAGCUUCUCCCCGAUCUCGUUAACAAACUUAAUCUCCUCGUCGAUGACGUCGAUCCCGAAGAGAUCGUACUCUCUACACAUCGUCAAGAUCUCGAAAUGGAGCUGCGCGGCUUUCGUGAGAUCGAUCUUCUCCGGAUCGGAUCCGUCCGUUAGAUCGCGGAGCUUCUUGGAGAGGCGGAGGGCGCGGACGGAGUGAGAGAGGAGCUCGGUGGCGGAGUGGAGGUUCGAGAGCUGAGUAGAUUUGGAUCUGAUUGAUCGCACGGGCUCGGAGAGAUCGGAUCGGAUGCGGCGGAUGGAGGAUUGGAGGGAGGAGACGGAGGAGCGGAGGGAGGAGAGGGAGAUCUCGGCGUGGGAGAGGGAGGAGAGCUGGGAGAGGAGCUCGGGGUGGCGGGAGACGACGUCGGUGCGGAGCUGGGAGUCGAGGAGGCGGAUGGCUUGGUGGAGACGCUCGGCGGUGGAGGCGGGGGAUCCGGAGGCGAGUGCGGCGGAGGAGAAGGAGGAGGAGGAGAAGGAUGGGGAGAGGAAUGGGGCGAGGAUUGGGUCGUUGGCGAAGGAGUCUAGCGGUGAAGAUGAAGAAGACGGUGGUGAGGGUCCGGAAGGAGGUGGGUUUUUGAAGGUGGAGAGACGUUGAAGAGAUGGUGACGAUGAUGGGGAAUGAGGAGGAAGUGCCAUCAUCUCUCUCUCUCUCUCUCUCGCGAGUAAUUUUUUUUUUCUUGCUUCUAUGUUUGUUCCCUCAGCUUAGUAUUUUAUCGGCUUUUAGUACACUGGAGUUGCAAUCGAACAGAGUUUUUAUGGUCUGAUCGAUCCAGCACUACCGGAAUACAUUUGAUUUGCGAACUUUGUAUUUUAAUUUUGGGGAUGGAUUGUUAGAAUUGAAUCAUGGAAUCAUAUAAUGGAAUUUGAAGUUGAUCCGUCAGCUAGGUGGCCAAAUGUUUGAAGUUGAUCCGUCAAUUACUAAAGCUUUUUUAGGCUAGAAAUGUUGUGGCCCAACAAAGGAUAAGCAUUAUGUUUGGUAAGCUAUAUGAGAGAGUUAACAAAUCCCAAACCUAUCAUAUAGAGGAAUUCCAUGUGAUAUUUUACCCAAUGGUGUCUCACAUUCCUUAUUUUUUAGUUUGAUGCACAAUGGCAUCACAUUUAUAAUUUUCGAAAUUUCUAUAGUUUUCUCCAAAUCUAUAAUUCAUAAUUUCAAGCUGUUUUAUUCUCCAAUUUAAUCCCUCCAAAUCAUUAAUCCAUUGGAAAAUAACAUAUUUUAUCAAACAAAUUUUGAAAUUAACUUUUGGACUGGAAAAAUAUGAAGAUGAUUAUAUUAUUUUGUAAACAUUACGAUAUAUAGUUGCAAAAUUACUUGUUCAAUACAAAAGAUGAAACUGAACUCAUCUUUGAUUCAAAUCUGUAUAUUAUUUUACCGAUUAUUUGAUAAAUUUUGAAAAUGGAGGAUUUAAACUCACAAAUUGAAAAUUUGAAAAUAGUUUAGAAUUUUUAAAGUUGUAAAUAAUAGAUCUUUUGUGAAAUCGGUAUAGAACAUGCUAUAACUUAUAAUAUAAAACCUAAACAAAACAGUUAUAAAAAUAUUAUGCGUAUAAGCUAACAUAUCUAAAAUUUUAAAAUUUUCAUAUAUGUUUAAAAUUAUUCGAUAUUUUAUCAAAAAAACAAAUUAAAAAAAACUGAAUUAUCUAAAAAAUUAUCCAAAGUAAACAAAAAUAUCCUUAAAAUUAAAAAUAUAUUAGAAUCGAAUUAGACUCGAAAUUUUUUCGAGUAUUAACCGGUUCCUAAUGUUUUAAUCCGAACCGAUGAACUUAAAUAACCUAACCAAAUUUUAUAAACAUCCAAAAAAAAUAAAUAUAUUUUUAGCAAAAAAAAAAAAGACUAAAUCGAACCAAAACCAAAAUGCCCAGACCUAUAUCAAGAUCUACUGUACACAUAGGGAUCUGAUUACAUUGGAAUGGGAAAUCACACUUUUGUCACACCUAAGCAUUGUGAAAGCGACUUCAGGGAGACACUUGUCACUACAUAAUUGGUAUGCUACGUCAUCAACUCUCUUGAAUCGCAUCAAAACGUACGACGCCUUCCACACACAUCAAAACGGCGUUUCCGAGAACCGCGUCUGCGCUCUCAGCUUUCUAUAGGGUCUUUUGUAUAUGUUUUCGCUUCGUCUCUGUUCAUCUUCCGUAUACCGUAAGACAAUGACGGUUAGGUCCACCGGGAGAAAACUCUCCUUCGAGAUUCUCAGCUCCUUGGAGGACGAUUCACUUCCGCCAAUCCCCCGAUCCAGCUCAGAUCCGAUCAGCCGAAACGACUCCACUGAAUCAUCAUCGCCUAAGCGAAGGAGACACAGGAAGAAGAAGAAACACAACAACAACAACAAAGUCGAGACUAUUCCUGAGAAUGGCGAUCCUCAAUUUACAUCCGUGGAGGAUCCGAGCUGGGCUUCCUGCGACGAAGGUGAGAGAUCGGUUUUCGAAAACCGAUUGAAUUACUUCGGCGGUGGCGGCGGUGGAAGUACAGUCGUGACGCAGACGAUACAGCAUAACGGGUUUAGUUUCGGGAAGCUGAGGCAGAGGAACGUUAACGGGAGUAGUAUCGACUCGACUAACGAUGAGAGAUUCUCUGAGACCUUGGCUUCUGAAAAGGAGAAUCCACCGUUUGAAGAAGUGCAGAAUCAGUUUCCGAGGAGUGAGACGAAUGGGAAUGUGGUGGUGACGAGGCUUGACACUGAGUCUUCUUUGGACUGGAAACAGCUUAUGGCUGAUGAUCCUGAUUGUAAGUUUCAGUCUUUCAUUGACUGUGCUCUCUUUUCCUUCUUGUGUGUGUCUCUCUAAUGGUUGCUAUUGUUGUUAUCAGUUCUUAGUGCUGAGACGAGGUCACCUAUGAAGUACUUCAUGGGGGAGAUUUACGGUGGGGUCUCGUUACGGAGCACGACUACUUCUGGGAAUGAUGUUGAACGGGAGAGGAUAUAUGAUAUGAUCUUCCGCUUGCCUUGGCGAUGCGAAGUGGUAAAAACACUGUCUGAACGUUCUAUGUGUUUUAUGUUGUGUUCUUGUAGUUGAUAGGUUUAAACUUGUGGUGUGAGGGAGCUACCUUAACUGAAGUUAAAUUGUGUUGCAGCUUCUACACACUGGCUUUUUUGUCUGCGUCAACUCAUUUCUGUCGUUGUUGACUGUCAUGCCAAUAAGAGUCCUGUUGACAUUCUGGGGUGCUUUUAAGAAGAGGUGAGUCACUUUCUACAUUCUUCCUUGAUAUAUAUAACAUACUCUGUAUUACCACAAUGUGCAUCUUUGACGCAAGUUUCGAUAUACAUACGAUUCUGUUAUUCCCUUUGGGGAGGAAGUAACUUAGUAGUAUUCGUGGCAGGCAGUUCAGGAGGCCUUCCUCAUCGGAGCUGUCUGAUCUUGCUUGUUUUCUAGUUUUGGCUUCUGGUACCAUUCUUCUUGGCAGAACAGGUGCAGUCGAAUCUUCUUGAUUUGCAUAAACUUGUUAUAUAUUUUACGUUUUAUCUAUCAAAACAUGCCUAGUGAUACCAUGGUUUUCUUUCUACAGAUAUCAGCCUAAUUUAUCACAUGAUUCGUGGUCAAAGUACCAUAAAACUAUAUGUGGUUUAUAAUAUCUUAGAGGUAACGUAAACCCCCUUCUAGAUUUCUUUCAGCUCUGAUUUUUCAUGUUCAUUUAACUUUACUUCCUUCCAUCACUUACAUGGUUUAGUUGCGUAGUUUACUUCUCUAACCAAUUAGUACUAAUACAGAUAUUUGAUAGACUCUGUCAAAGCUUUUGUGGAGAUGUAUUUGGGGCUCUGUUUAGUUCCGCAGCGGGACUGGCUAUUUCCCCUCCUGAGAAACUGAGAUUUUGUACUUGGAGAUUCGUUUCGGAUCUGGCAUUAACUAUGGUUGCGUCGAAUAUCCUUAUCAUUUGAUUACUAGUUUGAUUUCUGUGUAACUACUUUCACAUCUUUAUUCUCUUGUCUCCUUGACUGUCUCUUCACUUCUCCAUUCGUUCAUUCUUUUAGCUCAGGCAAUUACGUUGUCAACUUGUAUUGUUGCUCACAACAAUGCCUUGUUGGCCCUUCUGGUGUCAAAUAACUUUGCUGAGAUCAAGAGCAGUGUCUUCAAGCGUUUCAGCAAAGACAACAUUCAUGGUCUAGUAUAUGCAGGUAAGCUUCUACUCCAUUCCCUUUCGUGGAAUUUUGUAUCUAAGAACAAUUAUGUGCCUCAUACAGCUUUGAACAUCCCUUUGAGACUCUCAUUCAAACUAUUAACUGGUAUGAUCUGGUUGUUUUACUAUUUCUCUACCAGAUGCAAUAGAGAGAUUCCACAUAUCGGCCUUCUUGGUGUCUGUUUUGGCUCAAAAUAUUCUCGAGGCUGAAGGUCCAUGGCUUGGAAACUUUAUCUACGUAAGUACUGAUAAAUUACACACGAGUCUCUUUACAGGUUGCUCUUAAUUAAUUUUACAUGGACUCUGCAGAAUGCUACUAUGGUCUUCUUCUGUGAGAUGAUGAUAGACAUCAUCAAGCAUUCAUUUCUUGCCAAGUUCAAUGGCAUCAGACCUAUAGCGUACUCUGAGUUUCUUCAAGCUCUCUGCGAGCAGGUACUGAUGAUAUAACCUUCUCUAUCUCUCUUGCUGUUACAUUGGCCCUAUAAAUUCUAUUGAUGUAUCGAGUAUUGCGUUAGAAACACCUAUUUAUCUUUUUAUGGUAAUCUUCUUUGUCAGACUUUGAACAUCCGCCCAGAAGAUAGAAAGACAAAUCUCACAUUCGUACCCAUUGCACCGGCUUGUGUGGUAUAUUCUUCUUCCCUUUUGGCCUAGAAACUUAUGAAUCACUUGCUUGUGUUAAGUCAAAAUGAAUGUGUUUUUUUUUUGAGUUUCAGGUGAUCAGAGUACUGACUCCAGUAUAUGCAGCACACGUGCCUUGUAGUCCACUCCCAUGGAGAGUGAUGUGGAUGGUCUUUUUAUUUGUCAUAACAUGUAUAAUGCUGACAAGUCUCAAAGUUCUCAUCGGCAUGGGACUUAGGAAACAUGCAACUUGGUACAUUAACAGAUGCAGAAGGCGAAACUCCUCCCAUCUACACAACGAUUAGCCUGACUCUUAAAAACUACUGAGAAUUGAAGAAAGGUUUUCAUGUGGUAACACCUCAGCAGGAAAGAGUUUGCACAGGAGGAGAGUGGAUCAACCGGGUUGCACUCGACUCAGAUCCAGUUACAUCUUUCUUUUUGGUAUAUGAGAAUAUGAGAUCAUCGUUGUGAUCUUAUACAUGUUUAAUAUUCGAUGAAGCGAUUUUGGUAAUUGUUAGGCAAAUAUGUACAAAGAGACCCCAUGGAUCAUUUUGGCAAAGAACAAAAGCUAUCACAGGACAACUAGCCAUACUACUCUUCUUCGUCACAGGACAAUCUCAUCCCAUUUUCUGACUUGUCAAAACUAAUUUCUGACUUGUCUUAAAGCUUCCCAUUACCCUAACAUGGGAUGCAAAGUGACAAAGAAGGGAUCAUGAACAAUUAGUCUAAACUCUGAUCCAAUACAACCUUUUGGGAUUUAAGAUCAACUUUGUGAUCCUAUACAUAUUGAAUAUUCGAGGAAUCGAUUUUAAUAUAGUUAGACAUAUGAAAUGUGUAAAGAGUGAGUUAGCUCUUCUAUAGAGAAAUACUUUUGCUUAAAUCAUAUUUAUUUUUAUAAUAAAUCUAUUUCUGUUUUCUUAAACUAAAAUAUAUGCACACAAAGAUAUAUUUUCAGUAUAUUUUUGAAUCUGAAUUAUUUAUUUUCUAGAAUCCAAAUUUGAAGGACUGAUGUUUUACCUUUUUUUAUAUAUUUAAAAAUUAGAUAUUGUAAAAUUUAAUAAAUGUAACUAGUUUUAAAAAUAAAAUAUUAAAAUAUGAGUGAGUAAAUUUAUGAAAAGAUAAAUAAAAUAUUAAAUUAAUUACAAAUAAAACUAAAAAAUAAUAGAUAAAUGAGUGUAUUAAUUUUGUUUUAAUGUCUAAAUACUUAUAUCAAUUUUUAAAAACGGAAAAGUAUAAGUUAAAACAAAUGAGAGAAAGUACAUAAAAGCUGAAAAGUGAGAAUUGGGUAUGUUAUGUAUUGUAUUUGCAUGUAAAUGAUAUUUUAUAAUAUAACAUUAUAAAUUUUAUGUAACAUUAGAAAAAAAAGAAAAGAAACGUCAAAAUAAUAAUAUCUCUGGUGAAGUCUCUCUCUGACUUGCAACCCUUUUCUUCUCCAGUUGAUUAGAUUUUUCCCACUUUACACUUUCUCCCAUUCUCUCCACCGCUCUGCGACAAUGUCGGUAAGCUUUCUCCAUUCUCCCCCAUCUUCUUCUUUUUCUUCCUUCCGUUUCUUCAGAUUCGGGUCCAAGUCUUCGCCUAUUUCCAGAUCUUAUUUAGAUAAAAGGUUGUUUUUUUUUUGUUUCCCCGUGAAAAUGGUGGCUUACGUUCUACUGAAAAACUUGAUAAAUCUGCUAAAAUCAUCAUCAACUUUACACCGACCCUUGAUCUGAUGUUCUUUUGAAUAAGUCUUGAGAUCUCUUCACUGUGUCGGUCGGUUACCUAAAGAAAAACAAAAAGGAAAAAACUUUCUUCAGUUCAAAGUUUUUGUCGUUGAAUCUACAGUGUUAGGAUUCUGUUCUCAAUAUGCUAACUUUAAUCAAUUAGAACCAAGAGUCAAUAGAUUCAACUUACUAAUAUUCGAUACCUUUGGCUUUUAUGAAUAUUGAUCUCUCUCUACAGGCUGCUUUCAUUCCUAUGGAUCAAUCUCAGAACAACAUUCUCAUGGAUUCCCAGCCUACUACUUCCUCUGUAUGGUUUAUAAGUUGCUAGUUAUGGCAAUUGAAACAAUGUAUAACAAGCCUUGAUUCGGAUCCGUUCUUGUUGCAGGUGAAAACUGUGAAGAUUAGCAAUGUUUCACUCAAUGUCUCCAAGAAAGAACUCAACGAGUUCUUUUCUUUCUCUGGGGACAUUCACUACGUGGAGAUGCGAAGGUUGAACUAAAAAAACUUGUCCUUGUUAAUAUCAUCUUUACCCAAAAUAUCUAAUCUUAGUUACUUAUCAUCAUCACAGUGAGACGCAAGAAACUCAGCUUGCUUAUGUUACUUUCAAGGAUCCCCAAGGAGCAGAGACUGCUAUGCUCUUAACGGUAUUUUCUUUAUGUGUUUCUUUCUUUCUGUCACCAUAUUGUGGGAAUGUAAAGAUGUUUACACUAAUUUUCUUUAGGGAGCUGUCAUUGCUGAUCAUCGUGUCAGUAUUACUCCUGCUGUUAACUACGAGCUGCCACCAGAAGCCCUUGCACUUGACUCGGUAAAUCCCAAAAGAUAAUCUCUCCGUUUCAGAUUAAUUGUUGUUCUAGAGUUUAAAGUUUAAUUUCAAGUUUUUCUCAUUUUAUCUGUAUUCUUUUAGUUCAUUAACUAACACAAUAAAAUAAAAUAAUGAAUUUAUCAGGGAUAAAAAGUGAAAUUUAAUGAUUUUCUUAAUCUGUGUGAAAAAAUUAGAACACAAAUAAAAUGUGUGAAAAAAACUAGGAAGAAAAAUAAAAUGAAACAGAGAACUCUUUACUUUCAAUGUUUCACCUUUAGUUUUCAUGUUUGUCUCCUCUGUUGCAGCNNNNNNNNNNNNNNNNNNNNNNNNNNNNNNNNNNNNNNNNNNNNNNNNNNNNNNNNNNNNNNNNNNNNNNNNNNNNNNNNNNNNNNNNNNNNNNNNNNNNCUUAGGUUCUAUUGAGAUGAUUGCAGAAUUUGACUUGGUAAUUCAAGAUCAUAUUAGACGCAUUCAAAGUCAAGAAAUUCAUCAUCAUUAUCUUGGUCAUAAUAUUCAGAAUGAGUUUAUCUCUCUUUUAGCUCAUAAUGUUUAACUUUCUAUAGUAGAAAUCAUUAAAGAGGCAAAAUAUUUUUCUGUCAUUCUUGAUUGUACACCAGAUGUGAGCCAUCAAGAGCAAAUGACUCUAAUAAUACGAUGUGUGAAUCUGUCAAACAAAAAAGUAAGAAUACAAGAGUACUUCUUAGAGUUUGUUAAGGUAGAUGACAUAUCUGGAUUAGGACUUUUUGAAAAAUUGUUAGAUUCUCUAAAGUCUCUAACUCUUGAUGUUGGUAAUGUGAAAGGUCAAGGUUAUGAUAAUGGUUCCAAUAUGAAAGGAAAACAUCAAGGUGUUCAGAAACGAUUUCUUGAUAUAAAUCCAAAAGCAUUAUAUAUGACAUGUGCUUGUCAUAGUCUUAAUCUUGUGGUUAGCGAUAUGGCUCAUUCAUGUGUUAAGGCUAUUUCAUUCUUUGGAAUUUUGCAGCGCAUAUAUGCCUUGUUUUCUGGUUCUACAAAGAGAUGGAAGAUUUUACUUGACCAUGUUCUUUUUUUUACAGUGAAAUCCUUAUGCAAUACUCGUUGGGAGAGUCGAAUCAAGAGUGUCAAAGCAAUCAGAUUUCAAGCUCCACAAGUAAGGUCAGCUUUAUUGGAAUUAUAUGAAUCAUGUGAUGAUGCUAUGACAAAAAGUGAUGCUGAAAGCUUAAUCUUGUCAUUUGAUAAUUUUGAAUUCUUAAUUGGCAUGGUCAUUUGGUAUGAAAUUUUGUUUGCUAUUAAUUCGGUGAGUAAAAACUUACAAGCUAAAUCUGUUUGUAUUGAUAAUGCUUUGAAACAACUAGAAGGUGUAGUUCUAUUUUUGGAGAAGUUUAGACAUGAAGGGUUUGCCUCUAGUUUGGGUAUAGCUCAAAAUAUUGCUCAUGAUAUGGAUGUUGAUCAUGUCUUUCCAAGUAAGCAUCGUAUCUUUAGGAAAAACAAUUUCAUGAAACUCAGUUAGGUGAAGAAGUACUAACUGGUGAAGAUGAUUUCAGAGUUAAUUACUUUAUAGUUGUGGUAGACAUGGCAAUAACUUCGGUCAGGAACAGAUUUGAUCAAAUGGUGAAUUUUAAAAAUGUUUUUGGAUUUCUAUUUGAUUUGAAAAAAUUAAAGGUAUUAGGUGAAAGUGAAAGUGAACUACGAGAACAUUGUACUAACUUUCACAAAGUUUUUUUCUGGUAAUUUUUCAGAUGUUGAUUUAAAUGAUUUUUAUUCUGAAUUGAGAAUCUUGCAAACUACUUUACCUGAUGUGCCUAUGGAACCUAGUGAAGUUCUU
rnacentral:lncRNA from 1 species